rnacentral:rRNA from 1 species
GUGGGGAAUAUUGGGCAAUGGGCGAAAGCCUGACCCAGCAACGCCGCGUGAAGGAAGAAGGUUUUCGGAUCGUAAACUUCUAUCCUAGGUGAAGAUAAUGACGGUAGCCUAGAAGGAAGCCCCGGCUAACUACGUGCCAGCAGCCGCGGUAAUACGUAGGGGGCAAGCGUUGUCCGGAAUGAUUGGGCGUAAAGGGCGCGUAGGCGGCCUUCUAAGUCCGAUGUGAAAGUCCUGCUUUUAAGGUGGGAAUUGCAUUGGAAACUGGAGGGCUUGAGUGCAGGAGAGGUAAGUGGAAUUCCCGGUGUAGCGGUGAAAUGCGUAGAGAUCGGGAGGAACACCAGUGGCGAAGGCGACUUACUGGACUGUAACUGACGCUGAGGCGCGAAAGUGUGGGGAGCAAACAGGAUUAGAAACCCUAGUAGUCC